rfam:Gossypium arboreum cultivar AKA8401 contig_22456_3, whole genome shotgun sequence.
AUCCCAUGAUGAGGAAAGUUAUGAAGUAAUUCCUUAGAACUUUCCCAUACCUCAUACAAAGAUUCGUCAUCCAAUUGUUGAAAAGUUGUUAUCUGAUUACGCAACUU